GGACGAUGACGAUUAACUUGUUUUAGGUCUCGUUCGUCGUAACGGCGACAAGCCUUGCCGACCAUCCUGAUAUAUCACCACCCAUAUUCCGAGUCC